rnacentral:rRNA from 1 species
ACGCUCGACACCUACGGGAGGCGGCAGUAGGGAAUCUUCCGCAAUGGACGAAAGUCUGACGGAGCAACGCCGCGUGAACGAUGAAGGUUUUCGGAUCGUAAAGUUCUGUUGUUAGGGAAGAACAAACUUCGUUUGAAUAAGGCGGAGUCAUGACGGUACCUAACGAGAAAGCCACGGCUAACUACGUACCAGCAGCCGCGGUAAUCUGAGCGGGCUGGCAAGGC